rnacentral:tRNA from 1 species
GAGGGUAUAGCUCAAGUGGUAGAGCGCAUGCUUAGCAUGCACAAAGUCCUGGGUUCACUCCCCAGUAUCUUCA